rnacentral:tRNA from 1 species
UCCCUGGUGGUCCAGUGGCUAGGACUCUGCACUGCCAAUGCAGUGACUCUGGUUUGAUCCCUGGUCAGGGAG